rnacentral:rRNA from 1 species
AGGACAAACGCUGGCGGCGUACUUAAGACAUGCAAGUCGAACGGGCGCUUCACCUUCGGGUGGGUGUGCUAGUGGCGGACGGGUGAGUAACGCGUAGGAACCUGUCAUCAAGAGGGGGGAUAACGCUGGGAAACCGGCGCUAAUACCGCAUGUGGUCAUGAAAAUGAAGAAAGCAGCAAUGCGCUUGAUGAGGGGCCUGCGUCCGAUUAGCUUGUUGGUGGGGUAAAGGCCUACCAAGGCAUCGAUCGGUAGCUGGUCUGAGAGGAUGGUCAGCCACACUGGGACUGAGACACGGCCCAGACUCCUACGGGAGGCAGCAGUUAGGAAAUUUUCCCAAUGGGCGCAAGCCUGAGGGAGUAACGCCGCGUGGAGGAUGACGGCUUUCGGGUUGUAAACUCCUUUUCUGUGGGAAGAGUAGAAGACGGUACCGCAGGAAUAAGCCUCGGCUAACUACGCGCCAGCAGCCGC